rnacentral:rRNA from 1 species
GACGAACGCUGGCGGCGUGCUUAACACAUGCAAGUCGAACGGUGAAGGGGUCUGCUUUUGUGGGCCCUGGAUGAGUGGCGAACGGGUGAGUAACACGUGAGUAACCUGCCCCCUUCUUCUAGAUAACCGCAUGAAAGUGUGGCUAAUACGGGAUAUUCUGGGUCUGUCGCAUGAUGGGUCUGGGGAAGAUUGCGCCUUUGGGUGUUUUUGGUGGGGGAUGGGCUCGCGGCCUAUCAGCUUGUUGGUGGGGUGAUGGCCUACCAAGGCGGUGACGGGUAGCCGGCCUGAGAGGGUGGACGGUCACACUGGGACUGAGACACGGCCCAGACUCCUACGGGAGGCAGCAGUGGGGAAUAUUGCACAAUGGGCGCAAGCCUGAUGCAGCGACGCCGCGUGAGGGAUGGAGGCCUUCGGGUUGUAAACCUCUUUCGCCAGUGAAGCAGGCCUGCUCCUUGUGGGUGGGUUGACGGUAGCUGGAGAAGAAGCGCCGGCUAACUACGUG